UACGUAGGGAGCAAGCGUUGUUCGGAUUUACUGGGCGUAAAGGGCGCGUAGGCGGCAGAUCAAGUCAGUUGUGAAAUCUCUGAGCUUAACUCAGAACUGUCAACUGAUACUGCUCUGCUAGAGUGCGGAAGGGGCAAUCGGAAUUCUUGGUGUAGCGGUGAAAUGCGUAGAUAUCAGGAGGAACACCGAUAGCGAAGGCAGCUCGCUGGGACGGUACUGACGCUGAGGUGCGAAAGCGUGGGGAGCGAACAGG
rnacentral:rRNA from 1 species